CUUGCUAAGUUUGAUGGCGACCGGCGCACGGGUGAGUAACACGUAUCCAACCUGCCGAUGACUCGGGGAUAGCCUUUCGAAAGAAAGAUUAAUACCCGAUGGCAUAAUAGAACCGCAUGGUUUGAUUAUUAAAGAAUUUCGGUUAUCGAUGGGGAUGCGUUCCAUUAGGCAGUUGGUGGGGUAACGGCCCACCAAACCUUCGAUGGAUAGGGGUUCUGAGAGGAAGGUCCCCCACAUUGGAACUGAGACACGGACCAAACUCCUACGGGAGGCAGCAUG
rnacentral:rRNA from 1 species